AGCGGACGCUGGCGGCAGGCUUAACACAUGCAAGUCGAGCGGGCACUUCGGGGUCAGCGGCAGACGGGGGAGUAACACGUGGGAACGUACCCUUCGGUUCGGAAUAACGCUGGGAAACUAGCGCUAAUACCGGAUACGCCCUUUUGGGGAAAGGUUUACUGCCGAAGGAUCGGCCCGCGUCUGAUUAGCUAGUUGGUGGGGUAAUGGCCUACCAAGGCGACGAUCAGUAGCUGGUCUGAGAGGAUGCUCAGCCACACUGGGACUGCGACACGGCCCAGACUCCUACGGGAGGCAGCAGUGGGGAAUAUUGGACAAUGGGCGCAAGCCUGAUCCAGCCAUGCCGCGUGAGUGAUGAAGGCCUUAGGGUUGUAAAGCUCUUUUGUCCGGGACGAUAAUGACGGUACCGGAAGAAUAAGCCCCGGCUAACUUCGUG
rnacentral:rRNA from 1 species